rnacentral:rRNA from 1 species
GAUGAACGCUGGCGGCGUGCUUAACACAUGCAAGUCGAACGGAAAGGCCCAAGCUUGCUUGGGUACUCGAGUGGCGAAAGGGUGAGUAACACGUGGGUGAUCUGCCCUGCACUUCGGGAUAAGCCUGGGAAACUGGGUCUAAUACCGGAUAGGACCACAUUUUGGAUGGUGUGGUGGAAAGUUUUUCGGUGUGGGAUGAGCUCGCGGCCUAUCAGCUUGUUGGUGGGGUAAUGGCCUACCAAGGCGUCGACGGGUAGCCGGCCUGAGAGGGUGUACGGCCACAUUGGGACUGAGAUACGGCCCAGACUCCUACGGGAGGCAGCAGUGGGGAAUAUUGCACAAUGGGCGCAAGCCUGAUGCAGCGACGCCGCGUGGGGGAUGACGGCCUUCGGGUUGUAAACUCCUUUCGCUAGGGACGAAGCGUUAUGUGACGGUACCUGGAGAAGAAGCACCGGCUAACUACGUG